rnacentral:rRNA from 1 species
AGAACGAACGCUGGCGGCAUGCCUAAUACAUGCAAGUCGAACGAACUCUUCGGAGUUAGUGGCGCACGGGUGCGUAACGCGUGGGAAUCUGCCCCUUGGUUCGGAAUAACAGUUGGAAACGACUGCUAAUACCGGAUGAUGACGAAAGUCCAAAGAUUUAUCGCCAAGGGACGGCCCGCGUAGGAUUAGCUAGUUGGUGAGGUAAAGGCUCACCAAGGCGACGAUCUGUAGCUGGUUUGAGAGGACGACCAGCCACACUGGGACUGAGACACGGCCCAGACUCCUACGGGAGGCAGCAGUGGGGAAUUUUGGACAAUGGGGAAACCCUGAUCCAGCCAAUCCCG